UUGCUUCAAUUGUCGCGCAGGAUUUUAAUUAGAUUUGUUUUAUUACACUUUCGUAUGUGCAUGUCAGAAUAUACAUUGCACGAGGGUUUUAAAAUCUUGUUCGGUUGUGCAAAUAUGAUCUAAAUUAAUUACUGUGUUUAGUUUGUUAUACUACACUUAUUAUUCCAGUGCCUUUUUGUGCGCAUUGUUUAUUGUUUGUAAUUUUGCGAAACUGUCACAUAAAAAGUUGCAACACGAUUUCAGUUGUAGUCAGGGUCAAAUGUAAUUUUUAUUAAGUGGCGCCAGCGGUGUAGUUCCAGAAAUUCCCAAGCUAAACGCCACUGAAUGGAUCCAUUGUGUGUGUCAGCUGUUUUCCCAGGACCUUUCACAUCCUCUGCUCCACCAUGUUUUUCACUUUUUGCUAGUCUCAAUUUAAUAACAACGAGAUGAGGGGAAAAGCAACGACGUGCAACAAGCAGCAAAGCAAUUGAGGGCCACUUUUGCCAUCAAAUGAUUUUACCCAGCUAAGCUGGCGCAAUUUCCACGAAGAUGCAUGAGACGAGGACAGCACUGAAAAAAUGUUAGUUUUGGAAAAAAAUUUUAAAUUCCUAGCAAUUUUAAAAAAUGUAUUCAUAAUUAAAAUGAAAAGGUAUGCUAUACGGCUAUCCUAAUUAUCAUUUGUGAACUAUUUGGAACAUAACUUAGAAUUUGGGCUAAUGUGGUUGCUGAUAUAAG